ACCCUCCCCCGCGGCCGGGGGGACCCGGGCCGGGCGGUGCCGGGAGAGGGGCGGCCCCCGGGCCACCUCUCUUUGUGCCGCUGCAGAUGUGGCGCCGGGAGGUUUGGAGCAGCGGGACGAGCGGCACAACGCAACUCCAGCUGGGUUUUUUUAUAUUUUAGGGGGUUUGGUGUUUCAGGACGUGGGGAAGGAGCAGAGAUGGCUCUCAGCUCCCUCUCCCUGGUCCAGCUAGGCCUUGGAUGAUGCUGCAGACUGCAGCCGCUGCAGCUCCAGGACACGGACGAGGAGGAGGAAGGCAAUGCUCAGGAGAAGCAGCCAGAAGAAAACCCAGUAGUGCUGUGGGAGGAAGAGCCACGGACGCCACAGCUCCACUGCAGACCCCUUGGACCUGGGGAGAAGAUGACCAGGGACACUUGUCAUCUGUGGGAGAGGGCAAAUCUCACCUGCACCCCAUCUGAGCACAAGGAGGAUGUUUAACUCAGCCCCAAACCUCCCUGGCCCUUUUAGAAGCCCAAGAGAACAAACCUGAGGAGGGCAUGGGCAACCCACAAGGCAAAACUGAGCCCUGGUGGGGUUGAGCUGAGGCAGCCAAACAACAUCCCAGCCUUCCACCACUAAAUCCCCCAGCCCCUGCCCAAGUGCUGGCCACCUGGGGCCCACAGGGAGGCCAGCAGCCGUGGGGGGAUGCUGGGCAUGCUCAGGGUGCUGCUUACGUCAGCCCAAGCUGCUCCGGCUCCUCAGUCCCUGUGCUUGAUCCUCUGCCCUCUGCCACCAGCUUCCCAGUCACGGUGCUGUCCUGGCCCUGUGGCUCCAGCUCACUCCUGGGGAGGGAGAGGACGGGGUCAGUGCUGUGCCACGUGGGCCAGUGGCAGCUGGUGCCAGGGCUGCCCGGCCACCCAGCGCAGUUACCUCGGGGUGCUGGGCCAGCGCUGGGCCCCCUCUGGCUCCAGGUCACCUGCUGGGGCUGCUCGGCUCUCAGGGCUGGCACCUGGCUGGGCACCCAAGGUGGGAGCAUCAGUGGGGACACAGCCCCAGUGGCACCGAGGCUGGGGACACAGCCUCUGGCUGUCCCCACCCAACACAUCCUUACCAAGAGCUGCUUGGGGAUGACGGCGAUGCUGACCCUGCGGCGGGCAGACCCCUGCAACAGAGGGGCUGGGGGUGAGCACUGGGUGGCUGCUUCUCACCUCCUCCUUCCCCAUCCCCUCCCCAGCACGGGCAAGGGACACCACGGGACACUGCCAGCUCCCACUGGAGCUAAGAGGGGAAGCUGGAAAGCCAGGGAAGGUCAAAGCCAAGGGGUUUGUGCCUCUCAUUACUGCUGCAAGCUGUACUGGUGGGGCUGCCUGACCCCCUCCCCUACCUCUGGAGCUAUAGGGGGAUCACUGUCAGAUUCAAGGUAGUGCUAAAGAACAGCCAAGCCUGUGACCCUGCAAGGGAAGAAGGAUCUGCCUAAGAUCUCUUGCACAGGCAGCCCUCAGCUUGCUGGGCAUCCUGUCUGUCUACCAACAGCCCUCCGAGGCUGCCCCUGCAUUUUGCUUCAUCCCUGGCAUUUCCAGAUCUUCCCUGCAGCAAGCAGCUGGCUGCAGUGACAUUGUUUGAGGACAAGUGGGUGUGUGGGGACAGCCAGCUGAGGGAGGACAGCAUCCAUGGGGAGGCAGUGGCUCCAAGACUCCUGAACUGAGACCAGUUACCUGCUGGAAAGUCCUCUUCAGGGGGUGAGGUCUCAGCCGUGGCUCCACAUCAUCUGAGAGCAAAAAGAAGCUGCCUUACAUCCUGCCCCAACAUCAAGAUGGGGCUGAUGCACAGACAAACACAAAGCUCCUGAAAGCUGUCCUGGCCAUGUGCUCUGUGCUUGGCACAGGUGGUGCCCCAAGCAGGGGGACCUGGUCCCGUGCACACAGUGGCACCUGUGGGGCUCAGUGCUCAGGAACAGGUCCUUUUUGUGCAUGGGGCCCCCCUGCCCUGCAUUCCCAGCUGGGUUAUGGCUCUCUGGCCACCAGCACCUGCUCCCACACUGAUCUGCUGUCCCUCUGUCCCCUCACAACUGUCACCAGCUGUUCCCUUCACCACGCCAUCAGCUGUUCCCCCCUACCACUCCUCAGCUCACACCACCACUGGCUCUGCGGUGCAGGGUCACACUGCAGGCCCCCCAAAGGGGCUGGGGGCCAAGUGCUGCAGGGUUGCUCGGUGCCAGCCCUGCCCAGCCCUGGUGGCAGAGCCCACCUCACCCUGGGUCUCUGCCAGCUGCCGGUUGCGGGAGUUCUGCUGGAUCAGGCGCUUCAUCUCCUCCAGCUCCGCGUGCUCCCGCAGGUGGUGCCGCUUCAGGUUCUCCACGUGCUGGACCAUCACCUCUGCUGCUCGGCUCAUCCGGGCCUCCUGCAGCCAGGUGGGAUGGGGGAUCAGGGCCCCUAAGUCUCCUAAGGAGCCAGCUCUGCCAGUCCCUCCCUGUGCCUCCCCCCAGGCAGUGCAGGUGCAUCCCCUUCCCGCUCCCAGGGACAGGUGGAUGGAUCCCUUGCACCCUGCUAAGAGCAAACAUGAGGUCAAGGCCAGCACUGUGAGGAGGAGGGACAAACCCCAGCAAGCCCAGGGAUGAGGCUACAUCAUCCCCAAGCCCAUCUGUAGCACCUCCAUCCCUCCCAGCCCUGGGCUGUGUACACACCUGGUGUACAGCCCCCAGCUUCUCCGCAGCGCUGGUUGCCCGCUCAACAGCUGCUGACAGCACGGCCAGGUUGUGCUGCAGCUGCUCCAGCGUCUCCUUGCAGCCUGCAUUGGCACAGGAUCGGCCCAGCCUCUGUGGGGGGAAAGGAUGGAGCUGCUGGAGCUGGCACUUGGAGUUGUCCAAACCCCUCUGGGGCUGGGUGAUCCCAGCACGUGCCAGCCCCCGGCCCUGGUGCCCACCUACCUCCAGGGCAGCUCGGCACUGCCCCAGCUCCUCCUGGAUGUUCUCCUCUGCUGCAUCCCGUGCCCGUUUCUCCACCUGCACCCGUUGCUGCAGGGUGAACAUGUCACAGCGAAAAGCCAGGGCGAGGUGGGCAAAGGCUGCCUGCAGGGUGAGAGGUGGGACAUAGGGGCAGAAGAAAAGCCACCAGAGUCAUGUGCUGCUGUCCCCAAGGCGCAGACAGCAUGCCACCAUCAGGGCAGUGCUGAAGAUAAUUAGGCCUUGCCCCAUCACUCUUAGGCUGCUGCAAGAUGGGGACAGUCCCCUGAGAUGCCAGCCAAGGGAGACACGUCCCCCAGGCAGCUGAUAACGCUCGGAAAUCCUGAGCCCUCCUGGCAAGAGCACACGCCGGGCAGACGCCAGGGUCCUGGCUGAUGGCUGAGCCUGACUCAGCCCUGGCACUCGCAGGGAAAUUGUUUUUAUUAGCGAGGCUCCCGCCGCCUCCCCGGCGAAGGGCGCCCUUCAGCAGCUGCAGAGAGCUUUGUGGGAUUGCUGGGCACGCAGAGGACAGACUCAUGGAAAUGCAGCUGCCUCCAAAUGCCAAAAGCAUCUCUGGAAAGGGUUUGGAAGGUGCCUGCCAGGGGCCUGCGGUGCCUGAAGGAGAAGGGCACAGCCAUGGGACAGUGAGCCAGCACGGUGUCUGUCCUUGUGUCCCCUUUCCCCAGCCCACCCACGGCCCCCAGCAGCCCUCACCUCCAGAUCCUGCUCGGUCAAAGCCACCCUGCAGAAAGAGAAGUGCUGUCAGGGAUGGGAGCAUCAUGGGGGCUGCAUGCUGAAAAUGCCCUUGCUCUGCUCCCAGGGGUGCCAGCCACCACGAGAAGUGAGAAGCCAAGUGCCCAUUGUGUGGACUGCAACUCUUGUGCAAUGGAAAAGGAGGCAAGUCCAAUCUCUGAGCCAUGCUGUGCCCUGGGGCCCCCCUGCCCUGUAGCCCCCGGAGGGAUGCAGGUGCUCACUGGUCUUACCUGUGCAAGCCAAGUCUGUCCAGCACUGAGAGCUCACUGGGGAGGCUCAGCAGUGGCUCCUCCAGGGUUUCUGCAUCUGCAGGAAGGCAGUGGGGCCACAAGAGAUCACACGUGAUGGCUUUCCCUUGGCCUUCCCUCCUCCCUCUGCCCUCCUGUCCUAGCAGGGGGUGCUGCCCAUGUUUUGGAAGCAUCCCAAUCCUUCCCCCAGCAUCAGGGAGGCUUCAGCUCCUCCCAGGCCAGUGUCCCCUUCCCCAUGUCCCCACCAGGGGAGAUGACCCUCAUCAGAACACGUUCCCAUGCUCGUCCCCAGCUCCAAACCUUCCCCUAAGGGGACCCAGCUGGGAUGUGGGAUGGGGACUCACCCACCUUCUUUAGUCCUGUCACUGUCCCCAGGGUGCACAGCCUGCUCCUGCACGGCCCUGCCUGGCUCCUGAGAGGCACAAAGGUGCUGUUAGAGCAAACCUCUCCCUGGUGCUGCACAGCACCCCAAGAAGACCAGCACAGAGGGGCUGGGGGCCUGCCUGAGCCCAAGGAGCCAGGCAGGGUUUGUCCCCCACCUGUCACCCUCCCCUCCCUCUCACCUCUCGGACUUGCUCCACGCUCUGCUCACUCCUGGCCAAAUCCCCACCUGGGUGUCCCUGGGGACUGCUCAUCCUGCCUGGGGACAGAAAGGGAGCUGGGCAGCAGGGACCCCUCCCCAGCCUGACACCACUUCAGGAGAGACCCCCAAAACUGCCACUGGCACUUCUGCAGCCUGCAGGCUCCCAGGGGAUGUCAGCCAGCAGGUACCCCCCAAAAUAUCCCUGUGGGAUUCAGGGAGCUGGAGCUAAACUGGGCCAGGUCAGGGGGAGGAGGGCAAUGGAUCCAGCACAGGGCGGGGGGUACAGCUGGUGAGGCAAAUCCAGGGGAUGGGGUUGGGGUCCCAGGGCUGGAAAGGAUUGCAGGCAGGUGCUGCCAGGUCAGGGGAACCCUCCUGCUGCUCAGGGAGGGAGAGUGGAAAACCCAUCCUUGUGACCCCAUCCCCUUACCUUCAUCCGGAGAUGUGGGGAGCCUGGACAGCUCUGCCUGCUGCUCCCUGUGGAGAGAAUCCCGGCUAAACCCUAAAGAAACUCAGGAGGCAUCGGCAGCAUCCCACCCCCCACGCUCCCCCUGCUCCCUCGAUGGGGCUGCUCCGGACCUGGCUCCUUCCCGAGCAUCCUCCACAGCCUGCUCCGUCCCCGUCCCGCUCUGCGAGCCGCCCCCUCCGCUCCUGCCGCCGCCGCAGAGCCCCACAGAGGACCCGCCGAAGCCGUUUCCAGCCAGCAAUGAGUCACCAACCAGCCACUGCACUUUGCCUCAGCACUGUCUUUUUUUUUUUUUUUUUUUUUUUUUCCUCCGGCUGCCAAGCGGACCUCGCUGCGAGCCCGCCUUUUCCAGCACCACAACACAGCCAGAGCCCAGGCAGGCACCAUCUCACAGCACCCCAUGGGGAUGGCAGGCCCCCCUAAAAGUGCACUGGGACAGGUUUAUCACCCCAGAACCCUGUCCUGGGUGCCAGGAGGUCUGGCAGCUCUGUAGCAUCCCUGCUCACUGCUGCUGGAGGCCACCAGAGAGGGCAAGGCACAGGGGCUGCUGUGCACAGAGCCCUCUGCAGCCCCACGCUGGAGCCCAGCACCCAACCUAGAGAGGGUUUGAACCCCCAAACUUUUCCCCCUGGUUCUGGAAAGAGCUGCAGCAGAGCUUUUCCCUCUCCUCCUGGCGAGCCUGAGAGCAGUGGCUGCAGGAGAAGGGGCCACCGUGCCAGAAGGAUGCUCAGUGCCCCUUGCCUGGCACUGCCAUCACUGUCCCGUCCUUGCUAGCGUUUCAAGAGCCUCUAGGGGAGCUUUUAGUGCACGUACCUCCGAGGUGAGGGGCUGGGCCGGCAGCUCGCCCUCUGCCGCUGCCGCCGCCGGCGCCCCUGGGCCGGUCCCUGCGCCUCCUCCUCCCCCUGUCCCGGCGAGCUCCCUUCGAGCGGCUUCAUCUGCGAAGAGCAGAGGCUCCAGGACCAGCACACCUAUGCCCAGGGUGAAGUCGCUGCGCACAAGGGACUGUCCCGGUGCCCAUGGACAUGCAGAUGGAGAACAGAAGGAGAACUUUUUUGUCCAGGACAAGAAACGCAGGAGAGAUCUAGGGGGACAGAGAGCUGCCUGAAGCCCCACCUGCCUGUGCAAAGCCUUGGCCAAGCUCAGCAUCACCCAGCUCCCAGUGCCCGCUCAGCUCUGAUGAAGGAGCAGAAAGCAGCACUUGGCACCUUUCAAAGCCAGCCCGUUUCACACCUAUACAGCGGGAAUUAUCGCUGAUAACUCCACCCAGGGGCUCAGGGCCUCCAGCCAGCAGGGAUCAGCCAAACUCAUCACAGCAGCGAGCAUCAGAGCGCUCUGCUGGGCUGGUCCCUGCUGCAAAGUGCUCAAUCCAUCAUAGCUGCGGCAGCCCCUGCCGGCUGCUGCUUCCCCACAGCUCCGACAGCCUCACAGGCACUCGCUCCUUAUCUUUGUGUUACAGAUGGAAAAGAUACGAGACACGCGGCUGCUUUAGCACAAGGAACCCCCUGAGAUGCCAGACCGGGCUUUCCCUCAACUCGGCGACAGCCGAACGCUCCCCGGGACAUCAUUACCUGCCUGAACUCCUCCCAGGCGGCCGAAGGCAGAUGCUGGGCCCCCCGGCUCGGAGCCGGCACUCAGCUCUGUCGGGCCCCCAUCAGCCCGGCGGGGCUCGGGGGAUGGCGUGGCCGGGGCUCCGGGGCUCGGGGCUGCCGCGGCCCCGCCGCCUCCCCGCGGGGCAGAGCAGCCGCAUCUGCGGCAGACGGAGCUGCCGGGGCCGAGCCCGAGGAGAGAAGGCCUUUAAAGGAGAUGCAUGAGAGCGCCUGGGAGCUCCCCGCGCCGGCCAGGGCGGGCAGCGUGGUCUGCAGGUGGCCGGGAAACCUCUGCUUUUGGUGCGGGGCCGGGUCCCGCAGCCGCUCUGGGGAGGUGCCAGAGCCGGGAAAGACCAGGGCUGCUCCCUGCCGUGACACUGUGCCCGGUGUCAGCGGAGCUGAGCCUCAGCAUCUCCCCGACAGGAGGGGCAGGCAGGGUGGGGGCGGCCGGGACAGAUGGGGGAUCCCCCCGUGCUUUCAUGGGGUAACCCCAGCACCGGGUUAACCGGAAUGGCUGAUGAGGAGCCCCUGCAGCAUCUUGUUCGGUGAUGCAGGGAUGCCACUCUGCCCAGGACCCCCGGCCCUCCCGCCCCUCUCAGCAGCCCCACCAUCCCCCCCGUGCCCCAUCCCCGGCCCAGCCCCUUUGCUCAGAUCCAUGCCAUCCUCUAAAGCCGCUUUCUUCCCCUAAUGAGCUUACAGCGGCUCGGGCUCCACCUUCAGCACUCCCCGCAGCAGCUGCUGCUGCCCCCCCAUGCCCAGGGACCCCUCGGGGUCUGCAGACCUCUCCAGCCCUGAGAGGGCAAACAUCUCCCAGUGCCCGGGCGGGCUUUGCCCAGGCUCUGACCCACCUGCCCGAGUGAGAGCCCAGGGUGCAGCCCCAGGGGGUACAAACCGGGGGGAGUGGAGGUGGGACACCCUCGCAGAGAGCCCCAGCUUCCUCCCCAGGGGCAGCAGCUGGCACAUCAGGCUCCGCGGCCUCUGCCCCGGUGUCCUGGCAGGCCCAGGGCUGCUCCGUGGGACACACAGACCCAAGGACACAUCCCAGGGUCCCUGGAUGUCCCCUCUGUUCCCUCCCACACCCGGGGAGGGCUCACAAUGCCCCUGUUCACAAACCACCCCGUUCAAAGAGCCUCUAAAAGCAUUUACUAAAAGCAAGCAGGGAUUUUUUAGGCAUUCUUAUUUUUAAGCUGGGAGCAGCUAAAUCGUGACUGCAACCUAGGAAUGGCAGAGCCCCAAGGCAGGAAAAGCAGCCCAGUUCCCCUCACACAGACCUGUUCAGCAGGGAGGAACGAGACCCUGCAGGGAGAUCUGCAGCCCAGGGGGGUGGGUGGCAGCAUGUGGCUGCAGCUCUGCCUCUGUCCCCUGCCCUCCUUCCAGAGAGGUCCCUCUCAGCAGCAGCACCUCCCAGGGCACCUGAGGCUGAGCUGAACUCAGCUCAGAUCACAGUGUGGUCAUCUGGAUUAUUCACUUCUGGGAAGAAAGCUGCUCAGACUGACACUGGCUGCUGCCACUGAUGCAGCAAGCGUGAUGUACAGGUCUGUGCAGGGGCCCAAGCACAAAACAGCACCAGCCCUCCCUCAAAUCCACCUUUCUGUGGCCCUGGCUUCAGAAACCUGGCAGCCACCAGGCUACCCAAGAGAGAACACGAUUAUUGUCUUAUGAUUAAAAGUUUGUUGGCAAAAAAAAAACCCAAAAAAAUACCAGACAAGAAGGAAAAUUGCUCUUCCUUUUUAUUCAGUUUCAAAUCCCAAGUGAAACAAAAAAAAAAAAAAAUAUUGCUGAGCCUCCCCCAGAGCAGUCCAGCCUCACAUUUGGGUGUCACAGCCCCCAGGUUUGCAGGCAGAACUGCAUCAGCACGUGGGGGAUUACACGUGAGAUUAGCAGGCUGGCACUGGACAUGCAAUUACCUCCAGGGAGAAGUGGGAUGACCCCUGGCACUGCUGCAGGAGGGGAAACAGCAACAACCUGGAGCUCCUGUUUGGAGAGGGGCAGCCCCUUGGGGGAUGGAUUUUCAGGAAAUUUUUUUUUAAAUGGUUUUUUGAAUUUUUU